rnacentral:rRNA from 1 species
GACAGAGGGUGCAAACGUUGUUCGGAAUUACUGGGCGUAAAGCGCGUGUAGGCGGCCCUGCAAGUCGGGUGUGAAAUCCCACGGCUCAACCGUGGAAGUGCACUCGAAACUGCAGGGCUAGAGUCCUGGAGAGGAAGGUGGAAUGCUUGGUGUAGAGGUGAAAUUCGUAGAUAUCAAGCGGAACACCGGUGGCGAGGGCGGCCUUCUGGACAGUGACUGACGCUGAGACGCGAAAGCGUGGGGAGCAAACAGG